rnacentral:lncRNA from 1 species
GUGGAACACUAGACAGGCUUUUUUUUUUUUUUUUAAUGCCUGUCUACGGUAGCCAUGGCGAUCGUGACUCCAACAGUGAAUAAAACCCCAGCUUCACUGAGACCAAUGCAAAGGGGAGGCCUCCUGGGCCACUUUUCUGCACCAGAGGGAGCGAGCGGAUGAGUGAUGGAGGGCGGGAGAGCAGAGAUAACGGGGCAGUGGUCGCCAUUGCUGGUCCAGCAUAGGUUAAAACAGACUGACCGACUGGAACUGUAAUGGUCCAGAGUCUUCUGACGGAUGCAUAGUCGAUGUGCCGUAACCCUGAACCGAUAAAGACAGAUGGAUGGCUGUUUGAGAACCCCCCCCCCCCUCUCUCUCUCUCUCUUUCUCUCUCUCUGUUGUGAACUAUUUCUCUCACCCCCUGUUUGUCUCACAGGGAAUCAAUGGACAAACACUUUCACUGUCCAUCGAUCCCACCCCCCUCUCACUUGGGCACCACAUUUUUAUUCCGAACACAUUUAGAACAGGAUUUCAGAGGCUGGUUCUGAUCGACUGUGGAGUCACAAAAGAACAAGAAACUGAUCUACUUUCCUGUUUAGUGCUUCAAUUCAUAUUCAGCGUUCACUCCGUUCAGUCAAGUUGGACCUCCGGCUCUCAGCGUUGUAAGGGCCACCUUGACUUUCUCAUUUCAAAGAGAGGUGCGCGUCUGAGAUGGGAUGCGUGGCUCACACUCCAUCAUCUGCGCUUAGAAGAGCUGCAUUCGCCGCUGAAGUACACAGGAGAGGAGAUACGUGGCCAAAAUCAAUCAUGUAGAUAAAAUGUUAAUGAUCGACUUUCUGUCAGGACCACACGCUGUUUUGUCUUGCCAGAUAUCUGAUACUGCGCGAAAGGAAGGACACCUAGUCCAUUUCCGGGAGGACACUGGAUUUAUGAGCUUUCUGCUCUUUAGCUUGUUUUCAGAGAAAAUUAUAUCAAAAUCAUAUGGGAUCCUGUCCUAUGUGUCCUGGGGUCCUCCCUGACAUGGGCUGUCUCUUUCUAAGCAGCCUUAUUACCUGUGUGUGUGUGUGUGUGUGUGUGUGUGUGUUGGUACCCACUUGAGAACAUUUUUAUUAAUAAAUAAAUAAAAAUUUGCUACA